CCUACGGGUGGCUGCAGUGGGGAAUAUUGCACAAUGGGGGAAACCCUGAUGCAGCAACGCCGCGUGAGUGAUGAAGGCCUUCGGGUUGUAAAGCUCUGUCUUCAGGGACGAUAAUGACGGUACCUGAGGAGGAAGCCACGGCUAACUACGUGCCAGCAGCCGCGGUAAUACGUAGGUGGCAAGCGUUGUCCGGAUUUACUGGGCGUAAAGGGAGCGUAGGCGGAUACUUAAGUGGGAUGUGAAAUACCUGGGCUUAACUUGGGUGCUGCAUUCCA
rnacentral:rRNA from 1 species